rnacentral:lncRNA from 13 species
AUGGAAUCCCAGCCCUUCCACUUCCUAACUAUAUGACUUCGGACAACAGACUCCUCUCCAUGCCUUAGUUUUCUUUUCUGUAGAAAUGGGACUCCCGAUAGCUCCUACCUUAGGGGGCUGAAUUAACUGAGUUAGUAAAUGCGGAGAACUGCUGCCUGACCUGUGGAAAAGUCGGAUAAGAUGAAAGUGUUUGUCGUUCUCAGACGUGUGGACAGGGACUGCAUGUGGCUGCACAUGUGCUUGGCUCGCACAUGUAAGGGUGUCUGUGUCCAUGUGUGCAUCUGCAGCCAGCACUUGUCUGUGGGGUGUGUUUGUGUCUAUAUGUAAGUGUGUGGUGGAGACUGGGGUCAGGGAAUCCAUGGAGCAAUGGAAUCUCUGGGAGAAGACCCAUCCAUCCUGAGCAAAGAAGUCCUUCAGUGAGAAGUAGGAAGCAUCACUUAUAAAUAAUAAUCUAUAUUACUUCUCUGCUGAAAAGCCUCCAGAAGUUCCCCUUAGUUCUUUCAUUCAGUUGACAAACGUCUGCAGAGGUCCUACUACGCACCAGCCCCAGCCUCCUUGGCCCUUUCCAUUUGCUGUUGGUUAUACACAGCUUGUUCUUCCAUGUACACUUCUCUUUGGCCUUCUAAACCCAGGUUAGCUGCUGCUGUCUCUGAGAAGCUUUCCUGACUACAGAAAAGGCCAUGAUGAUGGGUUCUCUUGGCACUCAGAUGUUUACACCCACAGCAAGAUCAGUGACUCUUGUCCAUUCACCACUGAAUCCCCAGCACCAGGAAGAGGAAAUUGGGAUGCAAAUAGGUACUGAAGAUCGUGUGAAGACAGGGAGGAGGUUGUCAUCAGCAAGCCAAGGAGAGAAGCCUCAGAAGACACCAACCCUGCCAACACUGUGACCUCAGACUCCAGCCCCCAGAACUGUGAGAAAUACAUUUCUAUUAUUUAUGUCAAUCUGUGGUCCUCUGCUAUGGCAGCCCUGGUGAACUAACAUACAAUGCUCAAGAACUUUUCCAUAUUUUUUCCAUAUUGCUUUGCCAUAUUUUAAUUGUUUAGAGCUGCCUAAUAGAAAUAUACUAUGAGCCACGUAUGUAAUUUAAAAUUUUCUAGGAACUACAUUGAAAAAGUAAAAAAAAAG